UCCCCAAUGGCUCAGUGGAUAAAGAAUCUGCCUGCAAUGCAGGAGGCACAGGAGACUCAGGUUCGAUCCCUGGCUUGGGAA
rnacentral:tRNA from 1 species